UUUUCUUAUUACAAGCAAAAAAAACUUGGUCCACUGACAGAUGUUUCUACUUAUUUCAAGUGAAAAUUUACUUGAAACAAGUGAAAAUUGCCUAAAAACAAGUAACUUUUUAGGUGAUGAGUCUUAUUUUAAGUGUAAUGAGAUUUUUUUUUGACUAGAAAUGAGACAUUUUGACUAGAAAUAAGACAAAUAUUCUUGGUAAGAUUUUGAGUUUUUGCAGUGUCCUCAGUGACGUUCCCACAGCCCCAGUACCAGAAACGACACCACCAGACGCCCCAGUACCAGCAACCACAGCACCAGAGGCUCCAUGCCUUCCUCAGAGUGUAGAGAAUGAGAUUUUCAACUUAAGGAGAGAGAGAGAGAUGAGGGCAGGAAGGAGCGAGAUGAAGCUGUGCAACAACUGGAAAAAAUAAACCUUUUUGCAAACAGUGUGAGAGAAAAUGACAUCAAAUGCAAGCUGAUGACUGGGCUGACAUGGACACUGUUUGACACCUUGCACCAGUACCUGGUGCAGUUUGUAAAGCCCCAUGAGUAAUCCAAACAUUCGACACAAGAUGAGCUCUUCAUAACAUUGGUGAAACUGCAGCAGAACCCUUCAACGGACUUUAUGUGUGGAAUACUUGACUUGGCACACAGCCAAGUCUUGAUGUGUUCUUUUCUUGAUGUGUUCUCCCGGUGGCUCAAUCUGCUGUAUGCAAAAAUUUCAUUUUUGAUUGCUUGGCCUGACAGAGAAUGCAUCAGGAACACAGUACCAGCUGAAGUUCUUUUGCAAUACCCCAGACUGACAUCUAUCAUCGACUGCUUUGAGAUCAGAAUCCAACAUUCAAAGAAGCUGAAAACUAGAGCAAUGACCUACUCUAAGUACAAAAACUGGACGACAGUCAAAUACUUUAUUGCAUGUCAUCCAUCUGGUGCCAUCACAUAUGUCUCCAAAGGCUGGGGUGGGAGAGCAUCAGAUGUUCAUAUUGUGAGGAACUCUGAUUUCUUGUCUCAGAGAUACCUACACGCUGGAGAUCAGAUACUUGCUCACCGAGGCUUCACCUUGAGAGAGGACUUCACUGUUCUGGGUGUACAACUGAUUACGCCAUCAUUCACGCGGAGAAGAAAACAGCUGUCAGCAGAGGAUGUGGCAAAUUCUCGUGUGACCUCAAAGAAUUCACAUAGAGAGAGUGAUUGGUGCUCUGAAGAGCUGGUUCCAUAUUUUGGAUGGUCCUAUUCCUCUGCAACUGGUGAAGAGAUUGAGGGAUGAGAGACAGAAGAGAGACGAGGCCAUGAUUGACCGAAUUGUACAUGUCUGUGUAGCAUUAAUGAACAUGUCUGGCAGUAUUAUGUACAACAGCAACUAAAUUUGAAUGUAAGGAUAAAAUAAAUGUGCUAUCAUUUAAUAAUCUGGGCCUCCUGGCAAAAUAUGUUGCGAGAUGAGUAACAACUCAUUUGUGUUCUGACUGUUCCACCUGUUGAUUGUCUUUCCAGAGGUAUUUCAUUUCUUUCAGUGCUGCUCUGCUGCUGCACACCCUGUCACCCUGCCUCUGCAGCCUGCCUCUGCUGCCUGUCUCUGUUGCCUGCUAUGCUGCUGCCUGCCAUGCCACCACUUGUGCCACCUGACAUGCCACUCUCUGCGCUGCUUUUCAGCAGGCCUGUACUCUGCCUCCUUAGCAGAAACAUGUACAUAUGUUAUGGAUUAUAUUGAGAACAGGGUACAAGACCACAUUCCAUUAAUUUCAUAUUGUGAAUAUAUGUACUGUAUAAUGAUAUUAGAGUUUGUAAAUAUCACCCAACUCUCUCAGUAAGUAUUCAAUUAAAUGUCUAAAACAUGAUUCAAAAUGAUUCAGUAACAAAUAAAUAUGACUCAGAGUCACACUGACUUAUUUACUGUAAUUUUUACAUACUGAUAGGAAAUCAGACCACUUACCUGUGCAUCUCUCAGCUCCUGAAGUUUAGGAACAAUGUGUUGUGACCAAAAUCUUUGCAUCACACUGAUGGCACCACUGAUGAACUCAUCAUCUCUGGUGACCCUAAAUAUCAGGCAAGUCUGAGGAGUCCAAGUGAUGAAGUCGGCAUAUACUCGCUGGGUAACGAACAUCUGCAUUUGGACCUAUCAAAUAAAGCCAUUGAGCCAUUUUUUUUUCUGUAAGGGGCUGCCUGCUUAUCUAGCCUGACAUUUGA